rnacentral:rRNA from 1 species
GAUGGACGCUGGCGGCGUGCCUAAUACAUGCAAGUCGAGCGAACAGACGAGGAGCUUGCUCCUCUGACGUUAGCGGCGGACGGGUGAGUAACACGUGGAUAACCUACCUAUAAGACUGGGAUAACUUCGGGAAACCGGAGCUAAUACCGGAUAAUAUAUUGAACCGCAUGGUUCAAUAGUGAAAGACGGUUUUGCUGUCACUUAUAGAUGGAUCCGCGCCGCAUUAGCUAGUUGGUAAGGUAACGGCUUACCAAGGCGACGAUGCGUAGCCGACCUGAGAGGGUGAUCGGCCACACUGGAACUGAGACACGUUCCAGACUCCUACGGGAGGCAGCAGUAGGGAAUCUUCCGCAAUGGGCGAAAGCCUGACGGAGCAACGCCGCGUGAGUGAUGAAGGUCUUCGGAUCGUAAAACUCUGUUAUUAGGGAAGAACAAAUGUGUAAGUAACUAUGCACGUCUUGACGGUACCUAAUCAGAAAGCCACGGCUAACUACGUG